UGAGGAAUAUUGGUCAAUGGUCUGACGACUGAACCAGCCAUGCCGCGUGAAGGUCACGGCCCUAUGGGUCUUAAACUUCUUUUGCGAGGGAGCAAUAAGGUCUACGUGUAGGCCGAUGAGAGUACCUCGCGAAUAAGCAUCGGCUAACUCCGUGCCAGCAGCCGCGGUAAUACGGGGGAUGCGAGCGUUAUCCGGAUUUAUUGGGUUUAAAGGGUGCGUAGGCGGCCUGUUAAGUCAGCGGUGAAAUUCAGGGGCUCAACCUCUGCCGUGCCGUUGAUACUGGCAAGCUGGAAUGCGGAUGCCGUGGGAGGAAUGUGUGGUGUAGCGGUGAAAUGCAUAGAUAUCACACAGAACACCGAUUGCGAAGGCAUCUCACGAAUCCGCUAUUGACGCUGAUGCACGAAAGCGUGGGGAUCAAACAGG
rnacentral:rRNA from 2 species